AGCGAACGCUGGCGGCAGGCCUAAUACAUGCAAGUCGAGCGCACCUUCGGGUGAGCGGCGGACGGGUGAGUAACGCGUGGGAAUAUGCCCUUUGGUACGGAACAACUGAGGGAAACUUCAGCUAAUACCGUAUGUGCCCUUCGGGGGAAGAUUUAUCGCCAUUGGAGUAGCCCGCGUUGGAUUAGCUAGUUGGUAGGGUAAAGGCCUACCAAGGCUACGAUCCAUAGCUGGUCUGAGAGGAUGAUCAGCCACAUU
rnacentral:rRNA from 1 species